rnacentral:lncRNA from 10 species
AGCAAUUCUUAUUUUAGGAUGGUGUCCUGAAAGCAGAAUGGAAAUGACUCAGCAAAAUGAAACAGAAAUAUAAGGGAUGUGUUUUGAUUCACCCAAAAAUUUUGACUGAAGAGAAGGUGAGCUCUGAUAUAGUGCUUUAGUGCACGGACUCAGAAAGUGGAUGAGGAAGAGUGCAAUAUUGGCAGCAGUAUGCAAUUUCCUUUCUUCUUGUGUGUGACAAACAGCAUAACUUCCUCACUAUAAUCUGGUUUGAAAGUUGAGGACACUGCUCUGGCUAGAGAAUUGACUUUGCUGAUGAGCCUCUGGUCAACAUUUUCAGCUAAGACAUUCAUGAAGCUGUGUAAGAGAGAAAGGCUCAUCACCUUUGCAGAUGACACAAGCCUUUUAUGCGGGAAUCAAAGAAGAACAUGAGAGGCCAGAACACCGGAUUGAAACCAGCAAUUUGACCUUUAAAAGACUGACACUAGAAGAAAUAUUUUAAAAAAUUACUUGAGUGGAAGAAUAUGAUAAUACACAGGAACUUGGAUCCACAAAAAGAAAGAAAGUUCUUCAGAAACAGCUAAAAAGAAAGUAAGUACAAAAUACAUUUUGUUCUUAGUAAUUGUUUUAGAAGGGAAUUGACUGUCUUAAAAGUAAAAAUAGAGUAUAUUUGGGGUUUACUGCAUAUUCAAAAGUAAAAUACAUGAUAACAACAGCACAGAAAGAAAAGAGGGAAUCGUUAGGAGCAUGUGGUUGUCAGGCUUAUAAUUAUGUGAAGUGAUAUAAUAUUGUUUAAAAUUACUGUAAUUAUUUGAUAAUAUAUAUUGUAAACUUAAUGACAACAACUAAAAAAUAUUUUAAAGAAAGUCUGGGCCGGGUGUGGUGGCUCACGUCUGUAAUCCCAGCACUUUGGGAAGCCAAGGCAGGCAGAUCACGAGGUGAGGAGAUCGAGACCAUCCUGGCUAACAUGGUGAAACCUCGUCUCUACUAAAAAUAUUAAAAAAUUAGCCGGGCAUGGUGGUGGGUGCCUGUAGUCCCAGCUACUCGGGAGGCUGAGGCAGGAGAAUGGUGUGAACCCAGGAGGCGGAGAUUGCAGUGAGCUGAGAUUGCACCACUGCACUCCAGCCUGGGCGACAGAGCAAGACUCCGUCUCAAAAAAAAAAAGAAAAAAAAAAAAAAAGGAAGUCUGAAAAAUAAGCCAAUAUUGGAGAUUAAAUAGAAUAAUAUAAAAAUAGAAAACAAACAUUUAUUUCAAAAGAAGGCAGAGAAGGAGAAAAAAAGAACAUAGAACACAUGGAAAAACUAUAGAAAACCUAUCAAUUUGGUAAUUUUUAUUCAGCCACAUCAAUUGUAACACUAAAUGUGUCAAAUUAAAACCAUAAGAUCUAUAAAAGCAGAAAACAUGGGCAUUAUUUCUUAUAAAAAGUUACAACCUGCAGGUAAAGAAACCAGAGCAUCUGGCCAAAACGGAAAGCAGGUGCUCCAAGGAAAAAUGGGAGGGUAGGAAUUUAUGCUUGACAUGAUCAGCCAAACACACAUAUUGUGGGCUCUAGGAGGAGCUAUGAAUAUGCAUGGAGGGAGUCAAGUGCAUGUGCGGUGAGCAAACAUACAUAUUGCAUAUGACCCAUGUUCAUUUAGGAAUGAAGACUUAACAUUAAAAUGUAGUAAAAUUAGGCUCUAUAUAUCAAAAGGUGAAAAACAGGUCACAAAAGCACUUUGUGUAUGUCUGUAAACCAGCCAAAAUGAGUUUGUGGUUGGUGGUCAUUUAUCAGGAAAGAGUGCUUUGUAAGACUGGUCAAAUUUCAUGGCGAAACCGUGAUAAAGGUGGGCCACUUGGCCAGCAUGUCAAAUGGUUUGCCUAGAUUAAGGGAGAAAACUGCACUUGUUUUUCACAAACUGGUUUCUGUUUAAUUAUAGGAAAGAGAUCUUGAGAUGGUUAGUGAGUUGGGAGAAUAUUGAGACGUGACUGACCUCUUGCCUUGUUGAAGCUGUCGAAUCUAGUUUUUAAAGUUUUCUGGGGUCUCCUUUGCCAUAAGGAGUCUGUUUCAUUUUGCCUGGGGGCUGAGGGGCUUUAUGUUUAUUUCACAAAUGCGAAUGGCCUAAACAUCCGAUUAAAAUAUAGAAAUUUACAGGUAGGAUAAAACAAGAGCAAGACUCAUCUGUACACUGCUUCAAGAAACUCAUCUUAAAUAUGAAAACGUAGGCAGGUUAAAUGAAAAAAAUGAAGAGAAGUAUGCUGUGCUAACACUAACUGAAAACUGGAUGGAAUGGCUAUAUUAGAAUCAGGCAAAACACACUUCAGAGCAAAAAAUAAUAUACCUGAUAUAAAAAGAGAUAUUACCGAAUGAUAAAGGAGUCCAUUAACCAAGAAGACAUAAUUCUAAAUGUGUAUUUAUCUAAAACCAGAACUCAAAGUGCAUAUUAACAAUAUUCAGACUUCUAAUCUAUGAACAUGAUGUAGCUUAUCAUUUAUUUAUGUAUUCCUUAUUAUCUAUUAUCUUUUUCAGGGUUAUGUAGUUAUCAG